rnacentral:rRNA from 1 species
AGAGUUUGAUCCUGGCUCAGAGCGAACGUUAGCGGCGGGCCUAACACAUGCAAGUCGAACGAGAACGCUCCUUCGGGAGUUAUUAAAGUGGCGCACGGGUGAGGAACGCGUAGGUAAUUUACCCUUUGGCGGGGGACAACAUUCCGAAAGGAAUGCUAAUACCGCGUAAGACCACACUCACUACGGUGAGAGCGGUUAAAGGUGCCUCAAAGCACCACCAGAGGAUGAGCCUGCGUCCCAUCAGCUUGUUGGUAAGGUAAUGGCUUACCAAGGCGAAGACGGGUAGCUGGUCUGAGAGGAUGAUCAGCCACACUGGCACUGGAACACGGGCCAGACUCCUACGGGAGGCAGCAGUGAGGAAUAUUGGGCAAUGGGCGAAAGCCUGACCCAGCCACGCCGCGUGUGUGAUGAAGGCCUUCGGGUCGUAAAGCACUGUGGGGAGAGACGAAAAAGCGCAUCAGGAAAUGGUUGCGCCUUGACGGUACCUCCUUAGCAAGCACCGGCUAACUCUGUGCCAGCAGCCGCGGUAAUACAGAGGGUGCGAACGUUGCUCGGAUUUACUGGGCGUAAAGCGCGUGUAGGCGGACUCGCAAGUCGGUUGUGAAAUCCCUGGGCUUAACCUAGGAACUGCAUCCGAAACUGCUUGUCUUGAGUAAUGGAGAGGGUGGCGGAAUUCCCGGUGUAGAGGUGAAAUUCGUAGAUAUCGGGAGGAACAUCAGUGGCGAAGGCGGCCUCCUGGCUCAAUACUGACGCUGAGUGCGAAAGCGUGGGAGCAAACAGGAUUAGAUACCUGGUAGUACCACGCCGUAAACGAUGUCAACUAGCCGUUGGGAGACUUGAUUUCUUAGUGGCGCAGCUAACGCACUAAGUUGACCGCCUGGGGAGUACGGCCGCAAGGUUAAAACUCAAAUGAAUUGACGGGGGCCCGCACAAGCGGUGGAGCAUGUGGUUUAAUUCGAUGCAACGCGAAGAACCUUACCAGGUCUUGACAUCCUGCGAAUUUUCUAGAGAUAGAUUAGUGCCUUCGGGAACGCAGUGACAGGUGCUGCAUGGCUGUCGUCAGCUCGUGUCGUGAGGUGUUGGGUUAAGUCCCGUAACGAGCGCAACCCUUGUCCUUAGUUGCCAGCACAUAAUGGUGGGAACUCUAAGGAGACUGCCGGUGACAAACCGGAGGAAGGUGGGGACGACGUCAAGUCAUCAUGGCCCUUACGACCUGGGCUACACACGUGCUACAAUGGAACGCACAGAGGGCUGCAAUAGCGCGAGCUGGAGCUAAUCCCACAAAACGUUUCGUAGUCCGGAUUGGAGUCUGCAACUCGACUCCAUGAAGUCGGAAUCGCUAGUAAUCGUGGAUCAGAAUGCCACGGUGAAUACGUUCCCGGGCCUUGUACACACCGCCCGUCACACCAUGGGAGUGGGUUGCAAAAGAAGUGGGUAGACUAACCUUCGGGAGGUCGCUCACCACUUUGUGAUUCAUGACUGGGGUGAAGUCGUAACAAGGUAACC